CUGUGAUAGAUAACACUCCCAUACACUUUAAAUCUGGGUGAAGCAGAACUCGGAGAAGGAUGAUUUUAGGACAUUGUAUUUUAUUUGUACUAAUUUCAUAUUCUUAUGGACAGUCCCUGACCUCCUCUGCUUCUGUGGUGAAGAGACCUGGAGAGUCAGUCACUCUGUCCUGUACUGUCUCCGGAUUCUCAAUGAGCAGCAACUACAUGCACUGGAUCCGUCAGAAACCAGGAAAAGGACUGGAGUGGAUCGCGCGCAUUGACACUGGCUCUAGCACAACAUUCUCUCAGUCUCUGCAGGGCCAGUUCUCCAUCACUAAAGACACCAAUAAAAACAUGCUGUACCUAGAAGUGAAGAGUCUGAAAGCUGAAGACACGGCUGUUUAUUACUGUGCACGACACUCACACUGA